rnacentral:rRNA from 1 species
GACAGAGGUUGCAAACGUUGUUCGGAAUCACUGGGCAUAAAGCGCACGUAGGCGGUCUGUUAAGUCAGAUGUGAAAGCCCCCGGCUCAACCGGGGAACUGCAUUUGAUACUGGCAGGCUCGAGAACGGUAGGGGUGAGUGGAACUCCAGGUGGAGCGGUGAAAUGCGUAGAUAUCUGGAGGAACACCGGUGGCGAAAGCGGCUACACUGGACCGUCGACUGACGCUGAGGUGCGAAAGCUGGGGGAGCGAACGGGG